GAUGAACGCUGGCGGCGUGCCUAAUACAUGCAAGUCGAGCGAACAGACGAGGAGCUUGCUCCUUUGACGUUAGCGGCGGACGGGUGAGUAACACGUGGGUAACCUACCUAUAAGACUGGGAUAACUUCGGGAAGCCGGAGCUAAUACCGGAUAAUAUUUCGAACCGCAUGGUUCGAUAGUGAAAGAUGGCUUUGCUAUCACUUAUAGAUGGACCUGCGCCGUAUUAGCUAGUUGGUAAGGUAACGGCUUACCAAGGCAACGAUACGUAGCCGACCUGAGAGGGUGAUCGGCCACACUGGAACUGAGACACGGUCCAGACUCCUACGGGAGGCAGCAGUAGGGAAUCUUCCGCAAUGGGCGAAAGCCUGACGGAGCAACGCCGCGUGAGUGAUGAAGGUCUUCGGAUCGUAAAACUCUGUUAUUAGGGAAGAACAAACGUGUAAGUAACUGUGCACGUCUUGACGGUACCUAAUCAGAAAGCCACGGCUAACUACGUG
rnacentral:rRNA from 1 species